AUACGUAGGUGACAAGCGUUAUCCGGAUUUACUGGGCGUAAAGGGCGUGUAGGCGGUCUUGCAAGUCAGAAGUGAAAUUCCUGAGCUCAACUCGGGCGCUGCUUCUGAAACUGCAGGACUUGAGUGCUGGAGGGGAUAGCGGAAUUCCUAGUGGAGCGGUAAAAUGCGCAGAUAUUAGGAAGAACACCGGUGGCGAAGGCGGCUAUCUGGACAGUAACUGACGCUGAGGCGCGAAAGCGUGGGGAGCAAACAGGAGUAGAUACCCUGGUAGUCCACGCUGUAAACGAUGAAUACUAGGUGUAGGGUGUAUCGACUCCCUCUGUGCCGCAGUUAACACAAUAAGUAUUCCGCCUGGGGAGUACGGCCGCAAGGUUGAAACUCAAAGGAAUUGACGGGG
rnacentral:rRNA from 1 species